CUCAAAACCAUCAUCAAUUAGUAAUAAAUUCUCAAUACUACUCUAGACAAAUUAAUUGUUUUGAUUGUUGACUGAUAUUCACUGAUGCAUCUUAUUUAGUCUGUGAGGGUCGUUCGAGGAAUGUACAACAUGGAUAACUUGAAGUAUCGAAGAAGCACCUACGUUCAACGACAACACCAAAAUCAUUAAUAACCCCUCAGCUAAUACAAACUGCAAUAACUCAUCCACCAAUCCAAACUACAAUAACCCCUCUACCAAUCCAAUAAUCAAUAAUCCAUCCGUCAAACCAAACUACAAUAACCCCUCCAUCAAUCCAAUCAUCAAUAACCCCUAUAACAAUCCAAACUAUAAUAACUUAUUCGCUAAUCGAAACUCCAAUAACCCCUCCACCAAUCCAAACUACAUAACCAUCACUUUUUUUAGAGACAUUUCUUCACCAUAACAUUUCAUCCCCUCACUAUGAAGAUGUUGUGGUAGAAGAUGAUACUGAAAAUGUUGUGAUAGAAGAUGAGAUUGCAAAUGUUGUUCAAGUGGGUGGUUCUGAAUAUUGGGAUGUAAAUGUUAUUACUCAGUAAUUUAAUGUUAUAAUAUCUUAAAAUAAUUUAAAUGAUUUACAUAGUUGAGUUAUAAAAUUAUUUUAUUUACCUUUUUAUGUGAUGUAUGAGGCAAAUCAUAUUUCAAAUACAUGUUUAUGUGUGCCAGACUUGAUUGGAAAAAUAACUUCUGAUGGAACAUGGAUAAUACUUGAAUGAGAUUCAGAUGGUCUCGCAGUAGGAUCACCAACUCGUUUGUUAGCAGGGUAUUUGGAUAGAGUUGUUAGAAUGUUUCAGGACUUUCCCAUAAUGUUUGAGAGUUGGAAGAUGGUUCCCAUGGAUAAAACAACAAAGUUUUAUAAUGCAAAGAUAAAGUUAUCAUUAAUAAACAACAACAUAUUUUAAAAUUCAUUUCAUGGUCAAUAUUAUUUGCUUUGUUAGCUAAUUUUCAUUUUUAUGGUUAGCUCUAUUUUGUUGUUGAUGAUGGAGAUGACAAGCCAACAAUAUUUUCUUCUGAUGGAAAAAAAUUGGAGGGAUGUCUGAUAUCAAUUGUUUAAAAAACUUUAUAAAUGAGAUCUCUCACAUUGAAAAAAAAUCUUGCAAAUUUUACCAAAGGUAUUGUUAACGAAAAUGAUUGUGUUGUUUUUGUUCAAUAUAGGCGGAAAGAAGAUACACAUGUAAUAUUAGUGUUUUACUCGUAUAAUUUUAUUUUUAAUAUAUGAAUGAGUUUUUCCUAAGUGCUUUAACGCAUGUUUUUAUUUGUUACUAAUAUAGAGAAUGACAAGAUAAAAUGUCAAAAAUUGAAGAAAAAAAUGAAGAUUCCGCAUACACUCGAAUCUAAGUCGCUUGCAAGAAGCAAUAUUUGUGCUUAUUUGUAGGAAUUGAAAUAUGGAUGACUAUGCAGCAGAUGAGAAAUGUACGUAGUUUCUGAUAAAAGGUUUGACGAGUCUUUUAUCAAUGAAAAUGCAUACAAUAAUAAUGUAAGUGCAAUUUAAUUCUUUUGAAAUAUUUGUUAGACUUUUUAAGAUUUGAGAAAAAAUCAAAUCUUUUGGCAUCUCUUAGAGGUGGGGAGAAUCUGAUUUAAAAUUGAUUAUUUUUGUACCUUACUUAUUUUUUGUUAAUAUUUUUUAAAUAUAAAAACUUAAUUCUUUUAAAAUAUUUGUUAAACUCUUUAAGGUUUGAGAAAAUAUUCAAUCCUUUUAUUAUUUCUUAAAAUAGGUUAUGUAAAGGAGAAUAAUUUAUAGUAUACUUGUAUUCUUGCAAGAACUCCGCUGCUUUGGUUCCAUUCAGGAAUUCUUUUAAAAAAUUCUUAGAGAUCUUCCAUCAAUAAUAAAAUAGGUAAAUUGUAAGACAAUGAAUCCAUUAAAAGAAAUGUGAAGUACAAUAUCAAUUUCUGCAUAAAAUUGAUGCUGUUUCAUUUGUCUCCAAUUUUUCUUCCUCAUGUUCUGUCAACUUCCCAAUAAAUCCAUUGAAACUCUUAUGGUAGCUGUGAAGUACAUCUUAUGGUUUAAAAUCACGAGAUGGAUGAAAAUUUUGAUUAUUAAUCUUUCACAAUAUUCUUAGAUAAGGAAAAAAGAAACGCACAAAAAAAUCUAGCCAUACUGAUACACAUUUGUUAAUUGCAAUUAAAUUCUGUUUUUACCCUUCCAAAACUAACAGAAUUUACUUGUAGAGUCACUUUAGUUGUAUUUUUGAGUUGUAUCAUUUUAUUCUCUCAAUGUAUAAAUACUCUUGUAAUAUUCCCAAUUCAAAAUUAAUACCAAAAUUACUAUUCAUCCAAUAUUACUCUAUUCUCUCUAAUUC
rnacentral:lncRNA from 1 species